GGAGUUUUUAGCCUUUUAACAUUCAAGGAUUAGAGCUCCCUCUUUGCCCACUAGCAGGGCAUUAGCUGGUGCUGAAGACAGUGGCUGCUUGGCGAGCCUGGAUCUCCAAGUGACCCCCUCAGCAACUCCUGAUGAACAGGACUGAAGCCAAUAUUAAAGCAAGUCAACCAAAGGUUCUCUGGUGUAGACAAGACAGCAAAAGGACAGACUACCUUGUGGAACCUAGCAUUGUUCUCCUUCUGCAGCACUAAGUAACAUUUGUUCUCCGUUAAGAUCUUUGCAAACCACACACAAGAAUUGCUGGUCAUCCUGCCAAUAGAUGCUGCUCACAGAACCAAAUUUCCUGUGCUGAAUUGUCACUCAUGGGCUUGAGAGUAGGAGACUGGAGACCAAGGUGGCUAGAAUCCAGUUGGGCCUGAUGUCUCCCUGUUGAAAGGGCUCCUUGUGGAAUGAAUAGCACAUGGCUCCUGUGGUGGAUCUGAUAGUGGCAUAGCACCAAGUGAUGCAGGCCUGCCAGGGGCCACAGACACAGAAGAUGCUCCCGGGGUCCCCCAUGUACUCCAGACACACUGCAGGCCACCUCUCCCAGCAGGUUGCCAGUCAUGGGCCCCAUCAUCAUGACUUCUGUCCAAGGUACUGUGUGCAGAAAUGUGAUUGAGAUUCAAGUCAGGGCCUCUCUGCCCUUUUCCCUCCAGAAACAAAACCAAGAUAAUUUAUCCUGAACACGGUGAAAAAAGGAAGGGAGGGAGGAGAAAAAGUCCGGGUCUCACCUGGGAUUCUCUGUCUCCUGCAACAUGAAGGAUUUAGCCUGGGAGGAGGUGGUGAGAACUCUGGGAGAGAAAAAAGAAGGAAAGAAUAGUUUUACCCAUGCUGAAGUUAAUUUAAACCUUCACCUAGAGAAGCAAAAAAAAAAAACCCACACUUUCCCAUUUUGUGCCUCCCUUCCUAGAGUUUUAGCCAAAGGUUUAGCUAAGUAAUUGGUUUUACCAGCGCACUCACUCCUCCUAUCCCAAGUCUGUUUGACUCCCUCCCCAUCAUCCUCCUCACCUCUUUUCAGGCAGGGUGGGGAUAGCAGCAGGAGGAGAUUUUGGGAGCCUGGCAACUCCUGCAAGGACCGCAGGACAGCCCCUCUGUGGGGAUGCGUGGUGCCCCAUCUGCCGCCCUUCUGAAGAAUGCACUGCCUUCACUUUUUACUGUGUUAGAGUCCAUCCAGACUGUUCUAUCCAAAAAAGUUUCUUUUUCCCCCACAGGCAAUCAGGAAAUGAUUCCUUUCCCGACUGCUUCUGUCUAGUGCCUGGGAAUCUUGAGUCAAUCCCUCAGUAAGUCAGUGACUAGGGAAAUCCCUCUCUGAGCCUCCCAGUUCAUGUUGCUUAGGGAACCUGAUAUUUUCGUGAAACCUGCCUACACAUGGGCAGCCCAACAGCAGAACAAAUGGUGGUGACCAAAGUGAACAAAGAAGUAUAGUUGUGCCAGCUUCGUAGUUGCCCAUGUGGACAAGUCAGCAGGAUCAGGACACGAGGAAGAGUAAAUGUGAGACAGUCAAUGUGACUUCUGCGAUAAACAGAUUUUUAAACCCCGAAAUUUUGCAAAAUUUUGGUGAAACCUGAACUUUCUUCGUUGCAUAUACUGGCACUAUCUGUACCAUCAUACAACUGUCUCACAUUAAAGCUAUUUUUCUUGGGCACUGAUGAGUAAGGGACUUGCACUUAGGAAUCUGUUACAGUGAGCACAGAAGCAGACCUGUGGGCUCAUAGUCUUCACCCCCCACCCAUAUAUACAAGAUGAACAGAGUGGAGGUUAAACAACUUGACUAAACAACACAGUUCAUGGUAAAGCCCAAGACUGUACCUGCCCAUCCACUGCCUUUUCCAUGUAUCCUGGAACUGAGCAUAGACCUCUUCCCAGGCAGAGCUGACAGCAAGUAAAGGAGAUCAUAAUCAGGGGACCAAACAACUUUGUCUAAAGUGUGAAUGUCACCUAAGGAGAAGCUGUGAGAUCAGAAGGGUGGGGCAGAGGAGCAGACACCAUGAGGGAGAGUCCUUGGGGGUACAUCUGCCAGACUGACACUGUCUGGCCUGGGCAGUGGAGGGGCUAGCAGGAACCACAGGUACUGGUGGUGUGGCUACUACCGUUACAACUGCCUGUGCUUGGACAUGGACCCUCUGCAAUAUGCGGCAGUUUCAUUCAUUGCCCCCUACAUUCUACACCAAGUAGAAAUGGAAGGCAAUUGGAUACUUCACAGACAAGAUCUAAGUGGAGAAGGAAUGCGUCCUGUGGCUGCAGAGAUCCUUGGAGCUUGGAGGGGAGAGCUUGAGCCCCACUGAUGAUGACCUCCCACAGCUCGCCAACUCAGCCCUCCCUAAGUCCCCAUCGGGGGCCAAUUCUCACUCUGGGGUUGGGGGGACUCCACCAUAGCUCAUCCAUCAUAGGGAUGUUGGUAUCUACUGUGGGUUGGGUAGGGCCGAUGUGCUGAGGAUGGCUCCCCCACAAGCAAGAGAUGUGGAUUUGGGGAGCUUCCCAUCUUGUGUUGAAGGAACAUAACUCAGAAUAAUAAGAGCCAACUAUAACAAACCCACAGCCAACAUCAUACUGAAUGGGCAAAAGCUGCAGGCAUUCCCCUUGAAAAGUGGCACAGGAUAAGGAAGCCCUUUCUCACCACUCCUAUUCAAUAUAGUGUUGAAAGUCCUGAUCACAGCAGUCAGGCAACAGAAAUAAUAAAGGGCAUCCAAAUAGGAAGAGAGGAAGUCAAACUAUCCUUGUUUGCAGACAGUAUGAUUCUAUAUCUAGAAAACCCCAUAGCCUCAGCCCAAAAGGUCCUUCAUCUGAUAAUUUCAGCAAAGUUUCAGGAGACAAAAUCAGUGUACAAAAAUCACUAACAUUCCUAUACACAGUCGCCAAGCCAAGAGCCAAAUCAGGAGCACAAUCCCAUUCAUAAUUGCCACAAAAAAGAAUAAAAUACCCAGGAAUGCAGCUAACCAAGGAAGUAAAGGAUCUCUACAAUGAGAAUCACAAACGCUGCUCAAAGAAAUCAGAGAUGACACAAACAAAUGGAAAAACUUUCCAUGCUCAUGGCUAGGAAGAAUCAAUAUCAUUAAAGUGGCCAUACUACCCAAAGCAAUUUAUAGAUUCAAUGCUAUUCCUAUCAAACUAUCAAUUACAUUUUUCACAGAACUAGAAAAAACUUAAAAUUCAUAUGGAACCAAAAAGCCUGAGUAGUCAAGGCAAUCCUAAACAAAAAGAACAAAGGUGGAGGCAUCACAUUACCUAACUUCAAACUACAGGGCUACCAUGACCAAAACAGCAUGGUACUGGUACAAAAGCAGACACACAGACCAGUGGGACAGAAUAGAGAGCCCAAAAAUAAGGCCACAAACCUACAGCCAUCUGAUCUUCAACAAAGUUGACAAAAACAAGCAAUGGGGAAAGGUCUCCCUAUUCAAUAAAUGGUGCUGGGAUAACUGGCUGGCCAUAUGCAGAAGAUCGUAACUGGACCCCUUUUACUAUGUACAAAAAUUAAGAUGGUUUAAAGAGUUAAAACCCAAAAUUAUAAAAAUCCUGAAGAUAACUUAGGCAAUACCAUUCUGGACAUAGGAACUGGCAAAUAUUUCAUGAUGAAGACACCAAAAGCAAUUGUAACAAAAGCAAAAAUGGACAAAUUGGAUUUAAGAGCUUUUUCAUAGCAAAAUAAACAACAGGGCAGACAAUCUACCAAAUGACAGAAAAUUUUUGCAAACUAUGCAUCUGACAAGGGGCUAAUAUCUAGCAUCUAUAAGGAAUUUAAACACAGUUACAGGAAAAAAAAAACCCACUCCAUUAAAAAAUGGGCAAAGGACAUGAACAGACACUUUUCAAAAAAGACAUACAUACAGCCAACUAGCGUGUUAAAGAAAACCUCAAUUAUCACUGAUCAUUAGAGAAAUGCAAAAUCAAAACCAUGAUGAGAUAUCAUCUGCCAGUCAGGAUGGCUACAAAAAAGUAAAAAAAUAAUAGAUGUUGGUGAGGUUAUGGAGAAAAGGAACUUAUACACUUGUUAGGAGUGUAAAUUAGUUCAAUCACUGUGGACAGCAGUGUGGUGAUUCCUCAGAGAGCUAAAAACAACUACCAUUUGACUCACCAAUCCCAUUACUGGAUAUUUACCUAAAGGAAUAUAAAUCAUUCCACCAUAAAGACACAUGCAAGUGUAUGUUCAUUGCAGCACUAUUAACAGUAACAAAGCUGGGCACAGUGGCUCACCUCACGACUGUAAUCCCAGCACUUUGGGAGGCUGAGGUAGGCGGAUCACCUGAGGUCGGCAGUUUGAGACCAGCCUGACCAACAUGGAGAGACCCCAUCUCUACUAAAAAUACAAAAUUAGCCAGGUGUGGUGGCUCAUGCCUGUAAUCCCAGCUACUUGGGAGGCCAAGGCAGGAGAAUUGCUUGAACCCAGGAGGCAGAGGUUGCAGUGAGCCGAGAUCACACCAUUGCACUCUAGCCUGGUGAAGGAGCAAGACUCCAUCUCAAAAAAAAAAAAAAAAAAGAAAGAAAGAAAAAUACACAUUCAGAGGAGACAAAAAAUAAAAAACAAUGAUGCAUGCCCACAGGAUCUAGAAAAUAACUUCUUAAGGGCAAAUCUAGGAGUUAUUGGCCUUAAAGAAGAGAUAGAGAAAGAGAUAGGAAUAGAAAGUUUGUUGAAAGGGAUAAUAACAUAGAACUUCCUAAACCUACAGAAAGAUAUUUAUAUCCAAGUACAAGAAGGUUAUAGAACACCAGGCCAAUUUAACCCAAAGAUUACCUCAAGGCAUUUAAUAAUCAAACUCCCACAGGACAAGGGUAAAGAAAGGAUCCUAAAAGCAGCAAGAGAAAAGAAACAGAUAACAUACAAUGGAGCUCCAAUACAUCUGGCAGUAUAUUUUUCAGUGGAAACCUUACAAGCCAGGAGAGAGUGACAUGACAUAUGUUAAAGUGCUGAAGGGAAAAAACCUUUUACCCUAGAAUAGUAUAUCCAGCAAAAAUAUCCUUCAAACAUGAAGAAUAAACAAAGACUUCCCCAGACAAACAAAAGCUGAGGGAUUUCAUCAACACUAGACUGGUCCCAUAAGAAACGCUUAAGGGAGUACUUUGGUCAGAAAGAAACAGACAUUAAUGAGCAACAAAGAAUCAUCUAAAGGUAAAAAACUCACUGUUAAGAGUAAGUACACAGAAAAACCCAAAGUGUGAUAACAUUGUAACUGUGGUGUGUAAGUAGAAAGAAUAAAUGAUAAACCAAUCAAAAAUAGUAACUACAACUUUUCAAGACCAGUCAGAAAAAUAAGAUAAAAUUAGAAACAACAAAAAGUUAAAAAGUGGGGGGAUGAAGUUAAGAUGUAGAGUUUUUAUUAGUUUUUUGUUUGUUAAUGCAAACAGUGUUACCAGGUUAAAAUAAUGGGUUACAAAAUAGUAUUUGUAAUCCUUAUGGUAACCUCAAACCUAAAAACAUACACUGGAUACAUAAAAAAUAAAAAGCAAAAACCUAAAUCAUAUCACCAGAGCAAACUACCUUCCCUAAAGGAAGACAGGAAGAAAAGAAAGAAGAAGACCACAAAACAACCAGAAAACAAAUAAAUAACAAGGCAGGAGUAAGUCUUUACUUAUCGAUAAUACAUUGAAUGGAAAUAUGGACUAAACUCUCCAAUCAAAAGACAUAGACUGGCUGAAUGAAUGGAGAAAACAAGACCCAUUGAUCUGUUGCCUACAAGAAACACACUUAAACUAUAAAGACACACAUAGGCUGAAAGUAAAGAGUUGGAAAGAGUUAUUCCAUGCCAAUGGAAACCAGGAAAAAGAGAAGGAGUAUUGAUUUUGAUACAAAAACUAUGAGACAAAUAAAGUCACUAUACAAUGAUAAAGGGGUUAAUAUGGUUUCCAUUUGUGCCCCACCCAAAUUUCGUGUUCUAUUGUAAUCCUCAAUGUUGGAGGUGGGGCCUGGUGGGACGUGAUUAGAUCAUGGGGGUGGAUCUUUCAUGACUAAUUCAGCACCAUCUUCUUAGUGCUGUUCUCAUGAUAGUGAGUUCUUCUGAAAUCUGGUUGCUUAAAAGUGUGUAGCACCUCUCCACACCACCCGCUUGCCUUGGUCUACUCCUGCUAUGUAGAUGCUUGCUCCCACUUUGCAUUAUUCCAUGAGUAAAAGCUCCCUCAGGCCUUCCCAGAAUCAGAUGCCGCUAUGCUUCCUGAACAGCCUGUGGAACUAUGAGCCAAUUCAACCUCUUUUCUUCAUAAAUUAACAAGUCUUGGGUAUUUCUUUAUAGCAGUGUGAGAACAGAAUAAUACAGAAAAUUGGUAAAGAGGAGUGAGGCAUUGCUAGAAAGAUACCUGAAAAUGUGGAAACAGCAGUGGAACUGGGAAAUAGACAGAGGUUGGAAGAGUGUGGAGGGCUCCGAAGAUAGGAAGAUGAGGGGAAGUUUGGAAUUUCUUAGAGAUUUGUUAAAUUGUUUUGACCAAAAUACUGAUGGUGAUAUGGACAAUGAAGUCCAGGCUGAGGAGGUCUCAGAUGGAGAUGAGGGACUUAUUGGGACCUGGAGUGAAGGUCACUUUUGUUAGGACAUUGUGGUUGGAGACAUUGUGCCCCUGCCCUAGGAAUCUGUGGAACUUUGAACUUGAGAGCGAAGAUUUAGGGUAUCUGGCAGAAGAAAUUUCUAAGCAGCAAAGCGUUCAAGACGUGGCCUGGCUGCUUCUGGUAGUCUGUGCUCAUAUUUGUGAGCAAAGACAUGACAAGAAACUGGAACUUAUAUUUAAAAAGGAAGCAGAGUGUAAAAGUUUGGAGAAUUUGCAGCCUGGCCAUGUUGUAGAAAAGAAAAAAACCAUUUUCUGGAGAGGAAUUCAAGCUAGCUGCAGAAAAUUGCAAGUAACAAGGAGCAAAAUGUUGAUAGCCAAGAUAGUGGGAAAAACACC
rnacentral:lncRNA from 1 species